rnacentral:tRNA from 1 species
CUCUGGGUAGCUCAGUGGUAGAGCAGCGGCGUCACAACCGCCUGUCGCAGGUUCGACCCCUGCACCAGCAC